rnacentral:rRNA from 1 species
AACCUCCCUUCGGGGAGGGGAAAGUGGCGCACGGGUGAGUAACACGUGGGUAAUUUACCUUUGGGUGGGGAACAACAGCCGGAAACGGCUGCUAAUACCGCAUAAUGCAGCGGCUCGACAUCGAGACAGUUGUUAAAGCGGGGGAUCGCAAGACCUCGCGCCUAAAGAGAAGCCCGCGGCAGAUUAGCUAGUUGGUAGGGUAAUGGCCUACCAAGGCGACGAUCUGUAACCGGCCUGAGAGGGCGGUCGGUCACACUGACACUGACAUACGGGUCAGACUCCUACGGGAGGCAGCAGUCGGGAAUUUUGGGCAAUGGGCGAAAGCCUGACCCAGCAACGCCGCGUGAAGGAUGAAGCUUUUCGGAGUGUAAACUUCACAAGAAUGGGAAGAAUAAGUGUGGGAUAAUACCCCUCACGAUGACGGUACCAUUUGUAAGCUCCGGCUAACUCCGUGCCAGCAGCCGCGGUAAUACGGGGGGAGCAAGCGUUGUUCGGAUUUACUGGGCGUAAAGGGCGCGUAGGCGGCGCGACAAGUCACUUGUGAAAUCUCUGGGCUCAACCCAGAACGGUCAAGUGAUACUGUCGUGCUAGAGUGCGGAAGGGGCAACUGGAAUUCUUGGUGUAGCGGUGAAAUGCGUAGAUAUCAAGAGGAACACCUGCGGCGAAGGCGGGUUGCUGGGCCGACACUGACGCUGAGGCGCGAAAGCUAGGGGAGCGAACGGGAUUAGAUACCCCGGUAGUCCUAGCCUAAACGAUGAAUGCUUGGUGUCCGGGGUUAGAUAG